CUAGAAUUUUAGGUGGAAUUUUCGUUGUGUUUCUCUAUCGCCGUUGGUUGCCGGAGAUCGUACAUUCUCGCCGACUUACAAAGUUUUGUACAUAAUACUUCUUUAGUUUCUUCAGGAGACCUAGUUGGUGAUGAAUCCGAGACCAAGAUUUCAAUCGCCAGGGAUGGGGGGCCGUGGAGGCGGCGGCGGCGGGAGUAUGCAUCCAAAUACUAACCCAAACUUUCAACACAGAAAUCCUCAGCAGUACAUUCAGAGAGGGCCAGCACCCUAUCAGCAGCCGCAGCCGCAACAACAACAACAACAGCAUUUUCAGAAUCAGCAAACACAGCAGUGGCUUAGAAGAAACCAGUUGCCAUCUCCCGAUUCCACCGUUGCCGAGGUUGAAAAGAAUGUACAGUCCGAAGCCGUUGACCAGAGUUCACAAGAAUGGAAGGCUAGAUUGAAGAUACCACAACCUGAUACUCGAUACAGAACAGAGGACGUGACAGCAACUAAGGGAAAUGAAUUUGAAGACUACUUUCUUAAGCGCGAACUGCUUAUGGGAAUUUAUGAAAAGGGAUUUGAGAGACCAUCGCCAAUCCAAGAGGAGAGCAUUCCAAUUGCGCUAACUGGUAGUGACAUAUUGGCUAGGGCCAAAAAUGGAACUGGGAAGACUGCUUCCUUCUGCAUUCCUGCUUUAGAGAAAAUUGAUCAAGACAAGAAUGUGAUUCAAGCUAUUAUUCUUGUCCCAACUCGAGAAUUGGCCCUCCAAACAUCUCAAGUUUGUAAAGAACUCGGGAAGCACCUAAAAAUUCAAGUCAUGGUUACCACUGGGGGGACUAGCUUAAAGGACGACAUAAUGAGACUGUAUCAGCCAGUUCAUUUACUUGUUGGUACUCCUGGAAGAAUUCUUGACCUUGCAAAAAAGGGUGUGUGUGUUUUGAAAGAUUGCUCCAUGUUUAUCAUGGAUGAGGCUGAUAAGCUUCUUUCUCCGGAGUUUCAACCUUCCAUCGUGCAGCUGAUUCGUUUCUUGCCAGCAAAUCGUCAAGUUUUAAUGUUCUCAGCUACAUUCCCUGUCACAGUCAAGGACUUUAAAGAAAGAUACUUGCAGAAGCCAUAUGUUAUCAACCUUAUGGAUGAACUUACUCUCAAGGGUAUAACUCAAUUUUAUGCCUUCGUAGAGGAAAGGCAGAAGCUUCAUUGCCUUAACACUUUAUUCUCAAAGCUUCAAAUCAACCAAUCAAUUAUCUUUUGCAACUCUGUAAACCGUGUGGAACUGCUUGCCAAGAAGAUCACAGAAUUAGGCUAUUCAUGCUUCUACAUCCAUGCAAAGAUGCUUCAAGAUCAUAGGAACAGAGUAUUUCAUGACUUCCGUAAUGGUGCCUGCAGGAACCUUGUUUGUACUGAUCUGUUUACUAGAGGGAUAGAUAUUCAAGCAGUCAAUGUUGUUAUAAAUUUUGAUUUCCCGAAGAACUCAGAGACAUAUUUACACAGGGUUGGGCGAUCAGGGAGAUUUGGGCAUCUUGGUUUAGCUGUGAACCUGAUUACUUAUGAGGAUCGCUUCAACCUGUACAGAAUUGAACAAGAACUAGGAACAGAGAUCAAGCAAAUUCCUCCGCACAUAGAUCAGGCUAUAUAUUGCCUUUGAUCAGUUAGCUGCUCGGUUAUGGUGCACCAAUGGUGAGUCUUUUGUACAGAAAUCUCAUGUUGAAGUUGUGCGAUGCCUGUGAUGCUGAGAUAAUGGAUGACUUGGCUGUUUCAUGGUUGCCGAGAUAACUGAGUUCAUCUUUAGUUCUAGUGACGAGUUUUAAGUUAAUCCUAAAAGACUUUAGCAGUACAUACUGACAAUGGAUAGGUCCAGUCAGAGACUGACCGUUGGUGAGUCCCCUGGUUAAUGUAGUAUUUGGCAUUUGUCGCUGUUUCCUUUUCGGUUUAUGUCUGUUGGAUAAGAUGUACAAGGUUUUGCUCUAUGGUAUUCAUCUGCGGCAUAUGGUGAUGUGGGAGAAUUGGUCAUGGAGAAGUGAUACCUAAAGAUGUUAAGUGACGGAGUAGUCAUUUUUGUGCACUCAUAGAGAUUAAUAUCAGACGUUUCAACCAGUGUCUCAGUAUGUGUACCAGAAGCAUUGUACUCCUUUCAGCUCUUAUAGCUUUUUUCCUGUUAUGUUGGUGUUUGGAAUGAUGAAGCAGGUUGUGUCUGCAUGAAUGUGAAGG
rnacentral:misc_RNA from 1 species